rnacentral:lncRNA from 1 species
GUUCUCCUUUUCUCUCUUUGUUGGCAUCAAUAUUUUCUCAAAAUUGAAGUUGCUUCUUCUUCCAACCAAUUUCUUUGACAACAUUCAACUUUCGACGCUUAUUCAUCUAUUCUAACUAGCCAAGGGAACAUCGAUUUGCAGGCUUUAGCAUUUGAAGCAAUACCUUACAUUAGGAAGCUAUUCAAGGAUCACUCAGAAGAAAUUUCUUAACCUAGGAUUCUUAGGUGGUUAUCUGCCAAAAACAACCCAAAAAUAAAUUUUGUUGAUCUCUUCAAUCCUCCUCCUGAUAUAGUCAUUUCUUGGACGAAAUCUCUAUCGUUUUCUAUUGAUGUUGGUGUUGAUAUUGGUAAUGUUGGUGCUAAAAUUGGUGGUGAGCAUGUUGAUGAUGUUGGUGGUACAUAUGGUGGAUUCACUCCAUUCAGUAGACGUACCACAUCUUUUACUCCUUUUUCUAGAUCAUGUUCUGCAUGUAAAUAUGAAGAACGCAAAAAUAAAGAGGUUCAAUUAAUAUCUACUAGUGAAGAUGUGAUGAAGUCACUUGAUGCUCUUACUAAUGUUGUUAAGGAAUUGAUAUUUAAGAGAGGUUUUAUUCCAUCACGAAAAAUUUCAGAGCUAUUCACACCAUUGAAGAUUAAGAGAAGAAAAAAAAUCAAUUUUCAAGAUAUUGUCAAAUAUGAAAAAGAGACAACAAACUGCAACAACUCCUCUUCCUUGUAAUGUUGAGUCAUCUUUAGGAGCCAUGGAAGAGCAAAAGAAGUUGUAGAAGUUAUGAGGCUGCUAAAGUCAUAUUUUGUAAGCUGAAGAACCUAAUAUGCAUUGUAAUUUAUGAAGGCUUGUCAUAUUUAGUUAAUCAUAUUUUAUAAUUCCUGAUGACAAUAUUUUAUAAUUAAUAGAUGUUCAGUUAUUUUAUCACG